rnacentral:sRNA from 1 species
GCGCUCCCGCAGGGGUUCCUCCAAGAUGGCGGCGCAGAGGAGGAGCUUGCUGCAGAGUAAGGAAGUGGAACCCUCUGUGUAGGGCUGCGGGCCUGCUAGGUUUUUGUUGCAGAAGGAAUAGGUGAAGUGGGGACUACCCUGCAGACGCGGUGGCGUCUCACGGCUUCCUGGUGUCCUUCCCCAGGAGCAGCAGCCAAGCUGGACAGAUGACCUGCCUCUCUGCCACCUCUCUGGGGUUGGCUCAGCCUCCAACCGCAGCUACUCUGCUGAUGGCAAGGGCACUGAGAGCCACCCGCCAGAGGACAGCUGGCUCAAGUUCAGGAGUGAGAACAACUGCUUCCUGUAUGGGGUCUUCAACGGCUAUGAUGGCAACCGAGUGACCAACUUCGUGGCCCAGCGGCUAUCCGCAGAGCUCCUGCUGGGCCAGCUGAAUGCCGAGCACGCUGAGGCCGACGUGCGGCGUGUGCUGCUGCAGGCCUUCGAUGUGGUGGAGAGGAGCUUCCUGGAGUCCAUUGACGACGCCUUGGCUGAGAA